UCUCAAAGUAGCAUUCUCCACAAUUUGUCAAAAUGAACUUCGUCUUUGCUUUCCUUACGCUGCUCUUUGCUUUGGUGGUUAUUCUCGAAUUAGCUUCAGCCAUGCCUUCACCUAAGCCCGAGUGUCCUUUUGCACAACAAGCAGCUCAAACUCCUGGAUAUUAUCCACCAGGAGGAUAAAUUCCAAAAUUUCCCGAGUCAGUAGUGCUACAGGAUGGACCAGUUAAUCGCUUAAAAAUGCAAAACGAAUACAAUUUUGUUUUAAUUAGCCAAUGGUUACUCUAUUAAAUUCAGCUGGUACUAAUACAAGAUCAGCCUAAUGAUCGUCUAUUAGCUUUAACUGACUUUAUUUAAUUGACUAUUGACUGAAUAAACAUUUCUUUAUACGUUUGGCUUUCAUUAGGAAGAAAACUUGUUCGUAUGAUAUUCAUUGUUCGGAACCUGUGUAAACCAUAUUUUAUUGCUUCAAAUAAAAAUAUUUCCUCCUGUAAAA